rnacentral:rRNA from 1 species
UACGAAGGGGGCUAGCGUUGCUCGGAAUCACUGGGCGUAAAGCGCACGUAGGCGGGUCCUUAAGUCAGGGGUGAAAUCCCGGAGCUCAACUCCGGAACUGCCUUUGAUACUGGCGAUCUCGAGUUCGGGAGAGGUGAGUGGAACUGCGAGUGUAGAGGUGAAAUUCGUAGAUAUUCGCAAGAACACCAGUGGCGAAGGCGGCUCACUGGCCCGAUACUGACGCUGAGGUGCGAAAGCGUGGGGAGCAAACAGG